UACGUAGGCGGAAAAUUAAGUCAGUGGUGAAAUCCUGCAGCUUAACUGUAGAACUGUCAUUGAUACUGGUUUUCUUGAAUUUAGUUGAGGUAGGCGGAAUGUGUAAUGUAGCGGUGAAAUGCUUAGAUAUUACACAGAACACCGAUUGCGAAGGCAGCUUACUAAGCUAUGAUUGACGCUGAGGUACGAAAGCGUGGGUAGCGAACAGGAUUAGAUACCCUGGUAGUCC
rnacentral:rRNA from 1 species